rnacentral:rRNA from 1 species
CCUACGGGAGGCAGCAGUGGGGAAUAUUGGACAAUGGGGGGAACCCUGAUCCAGCCAUGCCGCGUGUGUGAAGAAGGCCCUCGGGUUGUAAAGCACUUUCAGUGAGGAAGAACGCCUGGUGGUUAAUACCCAUCAGGAAAGACAUCACUCACAGAAGAAGCACCGGCUAACUCCGUGCCAGCAGCCGCGGUAAUACGGAGGGUGCGAGCGUUAAUCGGAAUUACUGGGCGUAAAGCGCGCGUAGGUGGCUUGAUAAGCCGGUUGUGAAAGCCCCGGGCUCAACCUGGGAACGGCAUCCGGAACUGUCAAGCUAGAGUGCAGGAGAGGAAGGUAGAAUUCCCGGUGUAGCGGUGAAAUGCGUAGAGAUCGGGAGGAAUACCAGUGGCGAAGGCGACCUUCUGGACUGACACUGACACUGAGGUGCGAAAGCGUGGGUAGCAAACAGGAUUAGAUACCCUGGUAGUC